rnacentral:lncRNA from 1 species
CUUUUUCCCACACGGUGUGCUGUGUUAGCCGUUGUUCGUGACUAUAUUUCUAGACCUAUUGAUCACAUCUUUGCUUAAAGAGCACAGAUAAACAAAAUUCCUGGCGGGGAGUGCCUGGCCUCUAGUACUUAGGAAGCCAGAUUUUCAUAGAAUGCACACUCAUAAAGACUGUAAACAUUACUGUGCUAAUCUGGCGGAUAGUUCCUCAAUUCUUCCAGCCCCACUGCUCCUAGUUACCUUAAAUAUCAAGGAUGAACACCUUCUGCUGAGCAGGAGCCCCCCAUUCAAACGCAUCUACUUAAGAGCAGAAUCAAGACAAUCAAGUUUCCAGGAGAAUCAACCUGACAAAGCCCAGUACCAAGGCUAUAUGUUCCUUGUACCAAGAACCACCCAACCAGCACCUGCUGCUUUCCUGAGUCACUUGUCUGGUAAAUGGCUGCUCUGGAACCACCACCCAAGUGGGUCUCAGAGCAGUCAUCUGUUUCCUGGGGCAAUCAGUAGAUCUUUUGGACAACUCUGGGCUGCAGCCAACCAUCGAUGCCUGUUUCGCAGAAUCUCAGAACUGUAUGGCUGAAAGACUUCCUACAAUGUCAUCCACCUCCUACACGAG